rnacentral:rRNA from 1 species
GAUGAACGCUGGCGGCGUGCCUAAUACAUGCAAGUCGAGCGAACGGACGAGAAGCUUGCUUCUCUGAUGUUAGCGGCGGACGGGUAAGUAACACGUGGAUAACCUACCUAUAAGACUGGGAUAACUUCGGGAAACCGGAGCUAAUACCGGAUAAUAUUUUGAACCGCAUGGUUCAAAAGUGAAAGACGGUCUUUCUGUCACUUAUAGAUGGAUCCGCGCUGCAUUAGCUAGUUGGUAAGGUAACGGCUUACCAAGGCAACGAGGCAUAGCCGACCGGAGAGGGGGAUCGGCCACACGGGAAGUGAGACACGGUCCAGACUCCUACGGGAGGCAGCAGUAGGGAACGGUCCGCAAUGGGCGAAAGCCUGACGGAGCAACGCCGCGUGAGUGAUGAAGGUCCUCGGAUCGUAAAACUCUGUUAUUAGGGAAGAACAUAUGUGUAAGUAACUGUGCACAGCUUGACGGUACCUAAUCAGAAAGCCACGGCUAACUACGUG